rnacentral:rRNA from 1 species
AAAUGAAUUGACGGGGGCCCGCACAAGCGGUGGAGCAUGUGGUUUAAUUCGAUGCAACGCGAAGAACCUUACCUACUCUUGACAUCCAGAGAACUUUCCAGAGAUGGAUUGGUGCCUUCGGGAACUCUGAGACAGGUGCUGCAUGGCUGUCGUCAGCUCGUGUUGUGAAAUGUUGGGUUAAGUCCCGCAACGAGCGCAACCCUUAUCCUUUGUUGCCAGCGGUUAGGCCGGGAACUCAAAGGAGACUGCCAGUGAUAAACUGGAGGAAGGUGGGGAUGACGUCAAGUCAUCAUGGCCCUUACGAGUAGGGCUACACACGUGCUACAAUGGCGCAUACAAAGAGAAGCGACCUCGCGAGAGCAAGCGGACCUCAUAAAGUGCGUCGUAGUCCGGAUUGGAGUCUGCAACUCGACUCCAUGAAGUCGGAAUCGCUAGUAAUCGUAGAUCAGAAUGCUACGGUGAAUACGUUCCCGGGCCUUGUACACACCGCCCGU